UAGGAAUUAGCCAGCCCUGGGAAAGACAGUCCCUCCAGAGUUAGCAAGACCCCAAGAUGUCAAAGAUAAAAAUGCAAAAAUUAAAACUCCAUGAUUAACACAACUUUGAAGUCCUUCUCACUUGUCUUUAGAUGAGGGGCAACAUCAUUGCAACAAGUCACACUUAGAGAACUCAAGAGAAUAUGUUUAUUCUGAAAAUCCGAGAAUUAUUGCCAACCCAUGGUUGUCUCCAUAUGUCUUGGGAAAAAUAGGAAAAGGAUUUUUUGAGUUGGUGAUUAGAAUCCAAGACACAAAGAUUCAGGCUCUGGUAAAAAGAUCGUAUAGGCUAUUUUGGCUGACAUAAAAGUGCCCUGGUUUUACUUUGGGAGCCACCUUUCUCUUUCAAGUGCUGUCUCAGUGGAAUAGUCAACCAAUGUAUCCUACAUUUUGGACCAGCAGAAGGAAGUAAUGAGAACAGAAAACAAAUAAGAAGUAAGUUGGAGGGAGAAGGAGACUUUAGCAUCUUCCUGAAAUCAGGAAGAAAGUUUCAAGAAUAAAGUAAUCCAUAGGGUCAAAUACUGCAGUAAGUUUAAGUAGGAUGAAGACUGCAAAGAUGGUAUUAGUUUGGUACUUAGGACAUUGGUGACCUCCACAGGUGACCUUCAGGAGAAUUAUCUGGGGAACUUGUUGAUAGAAUUUGUGAAUCUCCACCUUUAGGGAUUCUGAUUUAGAAGGAGUAGGAAGAAGGCCUUAGGAUCUCCAUUUAUAACAACCACUACUGAUUAUUUUGAGGCAGGUAGCAUACAGACCACAUUUUAAAGAAACACCAGGUAAGUGUGAUUUUCAUUCAAAGGACAAAAAACAUAAAGUUACCUAAUUCAGGGACCAUUUCAAAGACCAAAUCAAAUCAGUAGCCUGGCUGAUCUGAUCGACUGUGCAGAAACUAGCCAUUACCAUGGCAAAGUGGGG
rnacentral:lncRNA from 1 species